UCCAGACUCCUACGGGAGGCAGCAGCGGGGGAUAUUGCACAAUGGGGGGAACCCUGAUGCAGCGACGCCGCGUGGGUGAAGGAGCGUUUCGGCGCGUAAAGCCCUAUCGGCAGGGAAGAAGGAGGACGGUACCUGACUAAGAAGCCCCGGCUAACUACGUGCCAGCAGCCGCGGUAAUACGUAGGGGGCAAGCGUUAUCCGGAUUUACUGGGUGUAAAGGGGGCGCAGACGGCAGCGCAAGCCAGGAGUGAAAGCCCGGGGCCCAACCCCGGGACUGCUCUUGGAACUGCGCGGCUGGAGUGCAGGAGGGGCAGGCGGAAUUCCUGGUGUAGCGGUGAAAUGCGUAGAUAUCAGGAGGAACACCGGUGGCGAAGGCGGCCUGCUGGACUGCGACUGACGUUGAGGCCCGAAAGCGUGGGGAGCAAACAGGAUUAGAUACCCUAGUAC
rnacentral:rRNA from 1 species